rnacentral:rRNA from 1 species
ACGGAAGGUCCGGGCGUUAUCCGGAUUUAUUGGGUUUAAAGGGAGUGUAGGCGGCCUGUUAAGCGUGUUGUGAAAUGUAGAUGCUCAACAUCUGAACUGCAGCGCGAACUGGCUGGCUUGAGUACACGCAACGUGGGCGGAAUUCAUGGUGUAGCGGUGAAAUGCUUAGAUAUCAUGAGGAACUCCUAUUGCGAAGGCAGCUCACGGGAGUGUCACUGACGCUUAAGCUCGAAGGUGCGGGUAUCAAACAG